UGCUUUUUUGUGACAGACUGAUAAAUGGCUGACAGGGAGAACAGGAAGCUGAGAACAUGUUGACGUGUAGAGCUUACUUUUUAAUAGGGAACUGAGGCCCACGCAAGUCAAAGAAAUGGAUUUGACAUCUGAGGAGCUCUAAGUGCAUGCUGGGAAUGGCAAGGCAUGAUGGGAUAUGGCAGCAGUAAAACAGGGGCUGCUCCAAGCCCUCUGGGGUCCCUCUCCUGGAGAAGACCCAGAGCAGCCUCUAUAGGAGGGGCUGCAGUAGGGGAGACACCUCACCAGGGCCUCUCUCUGAAUGUCAGGCUGAACUGACAAGGACACACAGAAGCCCAGAGGAAUAAAGAGCUUUUAGAACCCAUCUUCCUUAGAGAGAGAGAGAGAACUGGCCCUAAAAAAUGCACCUGAAUCCUUCCCUUGCUUUGCUAGACACGGACUGUCUCAAUCAAGCACAGAGGAAGACAGACAGAUGGUGUUACUGUCACACAGGGGACCCUAGAGGAUGUCAUAUAUUUCAGAAAGUCCACUACACUGCCGGCCCUCGGAGAAGAAACUGAAA